CGGGGGGCAGCAGUAGGGAAUUUUCCACAAUGGGCGAAAGCCUGAUGGAGCAACGCCGCGUGCAGGAUGAAGGCCUUCGGGUCGUAAACUGCUUUUAUGUGAGAAGAAUAUGACGGUAACACAUGAAUAAGGGUCGGCUAACUACGUGCCAGCAGCCGCGGUCAUACGUAGGACCCAAGCGUUAUCCGGAAUUACUGGGCGUAAAGAGUUGCGUAGGUGGCACUGUAAGUGGAGCGUGAAAGCGUGCGGCUCAACCGCAUUACUGCGUUCCAAACUGCAGAGCUUGAGUAUGAGAGAGGUAGAUGGAAUUCCCAGUGUAGGAGUGAAAUCCGUAGAUAUUGGGAGGAACACCGAUGGCGUAGGCAGUCUACUGGCUCAUUACUGACACUAAGGCACGAAAGCGUGGGGAGCAAACGGGAUUAGAUACCCGAGU
rnacentral:rRNA from 1 species